CUUCGCUACAGGAGCAUGCAAAGCUUUGGUUACCCCUGAUCACAUUAAAUAAAAGUUGACUUGAUUUCUACAGGACAAACAUUUAAACAGAUUUUGUUUUAACCUGUAAGAACCCAGACCCAUUUCUACUUGAAGACAAAAUAUGGGGUGCAUAACACAGAUGAAGUGGACUAUAUUUAAGGAACUUUCCGUGACAUUUAAAGGCAGUGUGACAGCCCUUGUUCUGGAUGAAAAGCCUUGAUUGCUGCAAGCUUAUUUGGUUGUAAUAACUGCGUUAUUUUAUCCUAUUGUUCCAAAGGUAUUUAACACAAAGCUGGUGUGAGGACGAUGAAAAAACCUAAACUUGCAUCGGUUGAGGCAAACCAUAAUACUUCAGUAGCAGAGGCAAUUAUCCUUCUAUUUGAAGCUUUAAUGGAAUAUCUUCACCUCUGUAGGUGAAAAGCUCCCUGCGCCGCUGACAAGCUAAAAGCACAAUUGUGCUUAAGGUGAACGAUUCUGCCCAUUUUUCCCUAAUAUUCUAAGAAGGACGUCUCCAGUCUGUAUUUGCCUCCUCUAACAGCCCAGUCCACUCAUGGACCCGAUCCGAUCAAGCUUCAGGCCGAAGCAUCCCCGGUUCCAUCCCCUCCGUGAGCGAUCUGGCUCUGCUCGUUUCUGGUUGGCCAGGGCCCCCUUCAGCAGCCGGAGCCAGGGGGUCUCCGACUGCACCUGAGCAUCAGCCCAUUUCGGGAAUUCGGCUGCUUUGACCCCAGAGGGGACUGUGGACUGCUCCUCCGGCUGGCUGUUUAGCAGGUUCUCCAGAUCGUCCAGGGUCAGAAGGUCAUUAUAGCGCUCCAGAAACUGCUCCAUAAACUAGACAGAGGGAUGAAUCUCAGGUCUCCUUUCCUGGACUAUUUUUUUGCCCCAUUCACUCCCUUUAUUCUAAGUGAGCGACUUCUUUCUGUCCCCUCCCAUCCCCCUGUACCUGCGCAGCAUCGGCGGGAGGAUGCAGAGCGCGUGCCUCUGUGAUCUCAAACGGAGUCAGGAGGAGCAGAGUGGCACAAAGCAGCACAGGACACAGCAUGGCAGCGGAGACGAGGACCGCGAGCAGGAAAUCUGGGAAGACACUGGCUGAAAAGAUUCAAAACAAAUAAAUUCAUGCACUGAAGUUAUUUUUUUUUUAAUAAAUGAAACCAUUCAGAACAAAAAAAAAAUGUUUGAUGAAACUACCCUUAAGACACUUAAGAAUUUUAAGUUCUAACAUUUUUUUUUGUUAUUCAUUUAAAAAGACAAAAUAACAGCUAUUCUGCACAGCCAAGAACUAAUUUUUAACCUAAUUUGUGUUUGAAUCUAAUUAUGCCACAAUGGCGCAUCUAAGGAUAUUUCAUCAUUUUAAAAUGAUAACUGCGUUCCUUUAAAUACACCCCAAUGAAAAGGUCAGCAAUGUCUCAAAAAAGUACCACUUUCACUUGCCUUAUCACCCCUCCCCCUUUAUUUUUA